rnacentral:snRNA from 1 species
CACCACUUCUUGUGAUGAAUG